GGGACACGUGGUAUCCUGUCUGAAUAUGGGGGGACCAUCCUCCAAGGCUAAAUACUCCUGACUGACCGAUAGUGAACCAGUACCGUGAGGGAAAGGCGAAAAGAACCCCGGCGAGGGGAGUGAAAAAGAACCUGAAACCGUGUACGUACAAGCAGUGGGAGCACCUUCGGGUGUGACUGCGUACCUUUUGUAUAAUGGGUCAGCGACUUAUAUUCUGUAGCAAGGUUAACCGUAUAGGGGAGCCGCAGGGAAACCGAGUCUUAACUGGGCGUUAAGUUGCAGGGUAUAGACCCGAAACCCGGUGAUCUAGCCAUGGGCAGGUUGAAGGUUGGGUAACACUAACUGGAGGACCGAACCGACUAAUGUUGAAAAAUUAGCGGAUGACUUGUGGCUGGGGGUGAAAGGCCAAUCAAACCGGGAGAUAGCUGGUUCUCCCCGAAAGCUAUUUAGGUAGCGCCUCGUGAAUUCAUCUUCGGGGGUAGAGCACUGUUUCGGCUAGGGGGUCAUCCCGACUUACCAACCCGAUGCAAACUACGAAUACCGAAGAAUGUUAUCACGGGAGACACACGGCGGGUGCUAACGUCCGUCGUGAAGAGGGAAACAACCCAGACCGCCAGCUAAGGUCCCAAAGUCAUGGUUAAGUGGGAAACGAUGUGGGAAGGCACAGACAGCCAGGAUGUUGGCUUAGAAGCAGCCAUCAUUUAAAGAAAGCGUAAUAGCUCACUGGUCGAGUCGGCCUGCGCGGAAGAUGUAACGGGGCUAAACCAUGCACCGAAGCUGCGGCAGCGACACUAUGUGUUGUUGGGUA
rnacentral:rRNA from 1 species